AUAUAUAAGAUGUUCGCAUAGUAAGUUUUAAUGUAUGAUUGUUUUCAUAUACCCUUUUACUUUUUAAUCCAGUUCAGGUGAAAAAUAUUGUUUAGAUGAUUGUGAAAAUGCAGGCUACAUUUUUAAAUGUUCAUAAGGUUUGUGAACAUACAAUUUACUACAUGAAGGAUGUGCCUGGCUUCCAUGUUGAAGUAGUAGGACUAUUUCCACAUAUGCGAGAGAAGAACUAUGAUCGGAGGUACUAUGUAUGCUUGAUCCAAUUUAGACAUCAACAAUUAUGUAUCUAAAAGCUGGAGUGCUCCUUGAACAUUGUACUGUAUAUAUGAUUGAAAUGAGUUGCAUGUUGUCGGUGACGGCGAGUUGAACCAAUGGAAGUGGUUGUAAUGGUAAGAUAGAGAAGAUGGCCGUGGGAGAAAAAGAGGACGGCAGUAAUGGUAAAGAAGAGAAGAUCAUUGAUGUAAAAGGAGGACAUGUGUUGGACCUAGCAUGUCUAAAUACAAGCAUGUGGUCAUAAGUAUUUUCUUUUCCUUACAAACGAGAGUUGGUUAUUUGGCUUCACAACCUCCAUAUUUCAAUUUGGCAUGCAACGACA